rnacentral:rRNA from 1 species
CACAGAGCAAUCUGUGUGACUGCGUACCUUUUGUAUAAUGGGUCAGCGACUUAUAUUCUGUAGCAAGGUUAACCGAAUAGGGGAGCCGAAGGGAAACCGAGUCUUAACUGGGCGUUAAGUUGCAGGGUAUAGACCCGAAACCCGGUGAUCUAGCCAUGGGCAGGUUGAAGGUUGGGUAACACUAACUGGAGGACCGAACCGACUAAUGUUGAAAAAUUAGCGGAUGACUUGUGGCUGGGGGUGAAAGGCCAAUCAAACCGGGAGAUAGCUGGUUCUCCCCGAAAGCUAUUUAGGUAGCGCCUCGUGAAUUCAUCUCCGGGGGUAGAGCACUGUUUCGGCAAGGGGGUCAUCCCGACUUACCAACCCGAUGCAAACUGCGAAUACCGGAGAAUGUUAUCACGGGAGACACACGGCGGGUGCUAACGUCCGUCGUGAAGAGGGAAACAACCCAGACCGCCAGCUAAGGUCCCAAAGUCAUGGUUAAGUGGGAAACGAUGUGGGAAGGCCCAGACAGCCAGGAUGUUGGCUUAGAAGCAGCCAUCAUUUAAAGAAAGCGUAAUAGCUCACUGGUCGAGUCGGCCUGCGCGGAAGAUGUAACGGGGCUAAACCAUGCACCGAAGCUGCGGCAGCGACGCUGAUGCGUUGUUGGGUAGGGGAGCGUUCUGUAAGCCUGCGAAGGUGUGCUGUGAGG